rnacentral:rRNA from 1 species
AUUGAACGCUGGCGGCAGGCCUAACACAUGCAAGUCGAACGAGUGGCGGACGGGUGAGUAAUGUCUGGGAAACUGCCUGAUGUAGGGGGAUAACUACUGGAAACGGUAGCUAAUCCCGCAUACCAUCUUAUCUGCCCAGAUGGGAUUAGCGAGUCGGUGGGGUAAAGGCUCACCUAGGCGACGAUCCCUAGCUGGUCUGAGAGGAUGACCAGCCACACUGGGACUGAGACACGGUCCAGACUCCUACGGGAGGCAGCAGUGGGGAAUAUUGCACAAGGGGCGCAAGCCUGAGGCAGCCAUGCCGCGUGUAUGAAGAAGGCCUUCGGGUUGUAAAGUACUUUCGGCGGGGAGGCGUUACCCGCAGAAGAAGCAACGGCUAACUACGUGCCAGCAGCCGCGGUAAUAC